UAGUGACAGAGAGAGGGAGUGGGUGACUAGUGACAGAGUGAGGGAUGGGGUGACUAGUGACAGUCACCACCUCCUUCACUCUGUCACUAGUCACCCCCUCCCUCACUCUGUCAUUGUGUCACCCCCUUCCUCACUCUGUCACUAGUCACCCACUCCCUCCCUCACUCUGUCA